GGCCUCAUAGUUUAACGGUAGAACGUAUCCUUGACGUGGAUAUGGCCGCAGUUCAAUUCUGCGUGAGGCCA
rnacentral:tRNA from 1 species